CCCACAGCGACCACGGCCAGUGGGGUGGGGAGAAAGCGGCAGCGGGGCCGGGCGAGGCGGAGCUGCAGUGACAUGGCGGCUCCGCGUGAGCCGGGCCGCAGCCGAGCGGCGGUUACUCGCCGGUAGCGAUCCCCUGGGCCGCCCUUCACACGGGUGUCGGAAGCUGCAUAAUGAAAUAGAGACUGAUUCCACUGGAUUUUUGCCACACCUUGGGUACAAGAAGCCAUAAAACCUGAGAGAAAAUAAACAGAAAAUGCAUGAAAUUCAAACUGAAUUCCUUUAACAGCCCCUUUUCCCCACUGAUAGUUGCAAGACUAAAACUAGUCUAGAUCUUCCUACCUGGAAUUGUUUAGUGUACAGUAAUGAUUGUUCUUCCAAAUGGAUUUCAACACAUGUGAUGGAAGGAAUUUUUCUUCCCUUUUAUCUUACCUCCUCUGAUGGGAAAAUUACCCCCCUGCUGUGAGUUACAACAGGGCAGUUAACCAUUACAAAAGGAGCAAUUUCAGGGUGAAAGAAGUCAAAUAUGCUACUGUUACUGGUUAACAGUUAAAUUUCUUUCCUUGCUGCUGGUUUUCUUCUAACUAAUAAAGGGGAGAACCAAGCAUUUACCAUCCUCAAAUUAAUACUGUUUAACAUUGAUCUAUUGCAACCUGAAAUGAAAAUUUGUAUUAAAAAUAUGCUUAUGUGUAAAAACAAAAAAAUGCUGGUGACCUUCACGCUGUUCUGCAGUCAAGUAGUGAUACAUCAACUAUCUGCUAUUUUGUGCCAGAUUCUACCACUUCUGGUGAUCUUAGGCCUAAUUUGCAAUCACACAUCAUCUUUGGCAUAGGAAUAAGCCACUGAAUAUUUUGCUUGUGCAUCCAUUUCAAUCCUCGUGCCACUCCAAAAUACUGUUGGUCUUUGCCUGUGGCCAUGCUAGUUACAAUCACCUUUGUGGACUGCAAUAAAAUAUGGUAUCAGCACACCGCUAGCCUCAAAGCAGCCUAGAACUGGCGGGCAAAAUCUUUCUCCAAAACUAGGAGUAUAUUCUGAAUCCUUUGAAGGAUUGCAAUGCAGAAUUUUGCCCAUUGUUUAACCUUUACAUAGCUAAUAGCUAUUCCUCUGAAGACUUUGUCUUUCAAAUUCAGCUGCUUGCAUUUCUGCCCCCUAUCCCCCCUACUUGUGCUACAGUGGAAUCUCACCACUUUAUUGCUCUUAAGGCAACACCUUCAAAUUCAGCCCCUGAAGAGCACUCAUGGGCCCACCAUGGGCUACAGAGCUCACCAUUUCACACCGACCUUUUCAGAACAAUACCUUUUAUUUUCUUCAGUAAUAGGAAUAAACCAAAACAAACCCAGAGUCUUUCCAGUGCAGUAUAAAGUCAGCACAUUUUCCAUCUUGCCUAAGUACAACCGCUGCCUGAAAGCUAAGAAAAGCUCAAACACUUCAGCCUGUGAUGGCACAGUCUUCAUCCAUGAGAAUAUGCUCCUUCUAGCCUUUCCAGGGCCUGACCUCCCCACUAUUGUUUUAGUUUCUAAGCUAUCUGCUAUCACAUUCUCAACAGUAAUGAGACAAGCUGCUGAACCCACUGACACAAUUAAGAUAAAUGCAGAGACACAUAAUUUUUUUAUGAUGGAGUAAUGUCAGACCUCUCAUCUUACUUGAGGUUGAUGCACAAGACCACGUCAGUCGGGUUGUGUGUGGGUUGUGUGUCAGGAUCAUGAUGAACUUGAGGCUGCGCAACAAGCACACUCCCUGUGAUGAGAACAGAGCCAUAGCAUAGUGACAUAGCAUCAAACAGGGUCACUUUUUCUGCAGCAAAAUGCCAUGAGGUCUCUGCCAUUUCCGGACCAGGAAAGAUUUUGCAGCUUGUUGCAGGUCCCUGACAACGCUUAGUGACAGCAAAACAUGAGGAUGGGAACAUGUCCUAGUGCUGAAGAAAAGACCAAUAGAAUGUACAGAACGGGUAAAGAUAAUGUUUCUAAACACAGAGAACGAAAUUCAGCUUGCUCUAUUGCACGCAGUGCCGAGAAUCACAAUAACUACACCUUUGUGCAGUUUAUCUAAAAAUCAGACUAAGCAAUAGCAGCCGCUUUCUUCCCUGUUGUAAUUCUGGGGUAAUCGGACUGUCUGCAUUGACAGUACAUAAAUACCAGGUGGUUCAACUCUCAUGCACACACACAAACUGGAGGAAACAAAAUACUGAUGUACUGAUGCAGUUGUAAAUUUUAAAGCCCAUGUCGUAGCAAUUUCACCUACUUAUACAAUUGCCAGAUCAAAAACUUCUUAGAAUACCAGGAUCAAUUAUUUUUGCUUAGACAAUUUGCAUUAGACAAUCACAGUUUAAGCUAUGGCUUUUGAUGACACAGGUGUUUCUAACAGUAUUCUUGAGGCAGCUGAGAUGAUAAAGGGUUACACAGGGAAAAGGCUUUGGCAAACACUUAGAGGCACCUGAGGAAAUGGUACUCCAUGGAGAAACAAAUUCCAGGUGGUUAGCUCAAGUAGGGAAAAAGUUGAACAAUACCUUUCAUGUGGUCUUGCAGUCAUCUCUUCUUGGCAAAGGUUUCUCAGUGUGUUACUGUGGUCACCUUUGAUCAAGGUACCUGAGGUUAUCAAUUGAGUAUUCCUGAUUCAUUCACAUAAGAUAAAUUAUUCUAAAUAUGAAUAUUAUGUAUUUUAAGUUUUCCAUGGGGUCUUUCCUUUUCUUUCUCUCUGUUCAGCUGCACUCGUCACCCACUAGACACUCAUCUACUGUCUGGAAGCAAACAUGGUUUUUUGGUUAAUCUGUUUUUUGGGUUUUGGUUGGGGUUUUGUUUGUUUUUUCCUCAACAUGAAUAAAAUGGGGGUCCUGUGAGCAUUUCUUUUAGGAGAAGAAACAGGUAAUAUGUUCAGGCACAUCCUUGUAUACAAACAGGAUCGAAUAAAUGUACAAAUCAUACACUAGAAGAUAAUUUCUCUGUAGACAGACAUCUAUAUGCCUUUCUACCAUAAUUUUACCAAAAAGUUCUCUGAGCUUUACUUCAGUAUAGAUUUAUAAGGACUCCUCUGAUGAUACCUACGCUUUCCUUCUCAUUCUGUGUGUUUUUUCUUUGGAAUUUCUGCUCUUUCUCUUCCACAUACCCCAGCUGCAAUCAGACCAGUCCCUCACGUCUGCACUGACAUUCAGCUGACAGUGGAACUAGUUGCUCACAUAAUUCAACCUCACAAAUGGCUUCUGAUUUGGAUGGCAAUUUCAUGGCUAAGCAAGCCUGUGCAGGAACUAUCAUCUCAUUUUGGCUGAACAGAGAACAUGCCUGUUUCUGUCAAUGAGCUUCUUCCACAAACAGCAGAUGAGCUUGACUCAUUAUUUUUUUUAUUAAAUACAGCAAACUGCUCCCGAAGGUUGGCACUGCAGGCCAGGCGGGAUACCUGGCACGUGCGGACAGCAGAAGCAACAAGCAGCUUAUUGGUAUGUAGAGCUGCAGUAAAUAGAUGGCAGUGCUAGAUCUCCAGUUAUCUUUUGUCAGCAGCAGUAUAAAAUUAGACAUUCUGUCUGUGCCUCAUCAGUUAACCCCGGCUCACACCAAUGCAUUGCCUUCACCUCUAAAGACAGAGGUGAUAUUUGGUUAUUGUCUACCCUUCCGACAACUAUGAUGAUGACUGUUCAUGCAGCUACAAUGAGAUACAAUACCAAUACUUACUGGUAUACUGACCUAUUAUACCAUACGUAUCAAAGUUCGUAUCAACAUAUAUUCAGUGUGAAGUUAUGUCGUCUUAUUUCCAACAUGUCUGUUGUGUAAGCAGCCAGAAUAACAGAUGGACAAAGGAAAACAAACAGAUCAACCCGGUAUCUUUUCCCUUUUUUUACUGAAGAGCGUGAAAUGUCAGCUGUGUGAGACUUACUGCAAAUUCAUUAAAUGUAAAUUUCUGGCA